UGAAAAACAACGAACUUGAUCAGGUUGCAGAUUUCCUGGGUCAUGAUAUCCGCGUUCACCGCGAAUUCUACAGAUUACCAGUUCCCACAACACAGCUGGCCAAGAUUUCCAAACUGCUUUUAACACUGGAAAAAGGACAUCUUUCCCAGAUCCAGGGGAAAUCACUGGAUGAGAUCAAAAUAGAAGAUGAAAUUGCAUUAAGUGAUGCUGAAACAAAGGACAGUGAGAGUGAAUCAGAUGAUGAUGACACAGCACUCACAAUGUCGGCGUGUGGCACCAGUGAGCCUGUACAUGCAGUAGCUGAUUCCACAAACACAGCGCAGCUCCAAGACACUGUAGAUUGUGCAGAUGAAGGACCACUCACAAUGCCUGCAGCAAGUGAGACUGCUGCUCCCUCUGAAGAGAAAAAUGCUGCUCAAUCCCACAAUUCCCGAAGAGCUCCCAAAAACAUGUGGUCCAAGGCUGAGGUUGCUGCAGUGAUGAGGCAUUUUAAAGACCACAUAAACGAAGGGAAACUAGCCACCAAAAAUGAAUGCAGUCAUUGCAAAUUGGUAGAAGAUCCGGUGUUGGCAGGAAGAACAGUUCAAAACAUAAGAGAUUUUGUAAGAAACAGAGGAUUAACUGCAAAAAGGCAGAAAAAAAUGAAUUAAAAUAACUGUUUAGCCAGAUGUGGUUUUACAUCUUGGUCAGAUUGCCAAUUGUUGUUAACACUGAUGUUCUGUUUAAAGAAAAAAAAAGUUCUUGUUAAAUACAGAAGCAGUUUGUAUUUCAUAAUUUUUACAUUUAAUUUAUUUAGGGUUUUUUUUGACGGGUUAUAUUUAAAAUAAAAAAUUAUAAAUGCAUAUUUUCUCCCCUUAAUAUUUACCUUUAAACUAUUAAAAUUCAUUUUAAAUGUUUUUAAUUUUUCUGUUUUCUAUAUUUUUAUAUUUCUGUGGGAAGCGUGGGCAUUUUUGUCCAUAGAUUUCUUUUUUUAUUUAUGGUUAAAAUUAAUGUUCAGAUCCAAGAACACUAAUAAAAUGAUGUUCCAGUAA
ensembl:lncRNA